rnacentral:rRNA from 1 species
UACGUAGGGCGCAAGCGUUGUCCGGAAUUAUUGGGCGUAAAGAGCUCGUAGGCGGUUUGUCGCGUCUGCUGUGAAACCCGAGGCUCAACCUCGGCCUGCAGUGGUACGGGCAGACUAGAGUGCGGUAGGGAGAUUGGAAUUCCUGGUGUAGCGGUGGAAUGCGCAGAUAUCAGGAGGAACACCAAUGGCGAAGGCAGAUCUCUGGGCCGUAACUGACGCUGAGGAGCGAAGCGUGGGAGCGAACAGG